GACGAACGCUGGCGGCGUGCUUAACACAUGCAAGUCGAACGGAAAGGCCCAGCUUGCUGGGUACUCGAGUGGCGAACGGGUGAGUAACACGUGGGUGAUCUGCCCUGCACUCUGGGAUAAGCCUGGGAAACUGGGUCUAAUACCGGAUAUGACCGACUGUCGCAUGGUGGUUGGUGGAAAGCUUUUGCGGUGUGGGAUGGGCCCGCGGCCUAUCAGCUUGUUGGUGGGGUAAUGGCCUACCAAGGCGACGACGGGUAGCCGACCUGAGAGGGUGAUCGGCCACACUGGGACUGAGACACGGCCCAGACUCCUACGGGAGGCAGCAGUGGGGAAUAGUGCACAAUGGGCGCAAGCCUGAUGCAGCGACGCCGCGUGAGGGAUGAUGGCCUUCGGGUUGUAAACCUCUUUCACCAGGGACGAAGCGUGAGUGACGGUACCUGGAGAAGAAGCACCGGCCAACUACGUG
rnacentral:rRNA from 1 species